rnacentral:lncRNA from 1 species
AUGAGCAGGUGACUCAGUAGGAUCAGGGAGAAGGCCAGAAAUUUCCUCCAUAUGUUGGGUUUCCUCUUUCUACUCAGGUUUUAGAGAAUGUCUUCAUCCUGGGCUGAGCAACAUGCAGUCAAGCCAUGGCUAGAGCCUGGAACCAGGUGAGAGAUGGAUACCAUCCAGGAGCUUGACUGGUAAAAACCUAUAUGUAGGGAGUUGAAUUAGCUAUCGUUGCCUCUGUCUGCAUUGAAAUAGAGAGUGGAUUGAGAACUAAUUAGGAGAGAGAUCUCAAAACUAUAAGUAGGAGUCAAAAGACAAUUGUUACUUGUGAGAUAUUAGUCAGGACUUAGUUGGUUUUUUGUUUGUUUGUAUUUAUUUUUGUGUUUUUUUUCUGUUUUUGUUGUUGCCAUUGUUAUUGUUUGUUUUUAUUUUUUCAUGGCCAUGCAGUUUUUGCUUUGUUAUGCCUUGUUUUCAUUUGUCUCUCCUUGCUUCCUAUCUAUUGCAGCAAAAGUGGUGAAAAUAAUAGGAGAAAAAAGGAAAAACCUAAUUUUCCUGAGUUCUCACUCUGGUCUACUUAACAACAAACUAAAUGAGCCAAUGGUACCUGGGGCACAGCAUCUAUCUGGAUUCUUGGACCUAGUCCCUGGGUAACUGGGGAGGAGUGUAGCCUGAAAGUCAGAAACUUGGGACAUUGUCUACAUGACUACCAGCCAUACUUCUCCUGUGGGGGCAGUAACUACGACAGGAGCCUUGAGUCCAGGAGACAUGGUCAAAUGCCUACUGUCCCAUGUAGGUGGGAAUUACCACACAUUGGGUUCUCUGGGGGUUCAAGAUCUAGCCUUUACAGGAAACCAGGCUGUCUAAUGUCCCACAAUCUACUUCCGAGUAAAGUUGGCUUUAGAACUUCUUACUAGGAUGCUAUUUAGUCUUUGUGUCACUAAUGCCUGUAGUAGUUCUACUCAAUAGCAUAUCAUUGUAAAAUUUACAAAGGACACAAAGGUUCUAGGUAAACUCAGUGAUUUUCCUACUGUUUGAAGUGUUACAGUUCUCUGAAUCUUAUCCCCUAUAAGGGUGUUACUGUUUUCUAAGAACAAAAGCACACCUGAAUUUUACACAACAUUUAUUAUGAGUAUUGCAGACCUAUAUCAUAGAUAAAGAGAGACUUCAUGUCAGCUACUAUAAACCUAGACAAGUACUCAUGGUUUGUGAAGUCAUAGACCCUAGAGAAGAAACUAUUUCUGCUAAUUGUCUGAAAAAAUAAAAUUUCUAACUCUGCUAUAAGUGUUAAUGCCUACAAACAGACAUUUUGAUGAGGGAGGCUCCUAAGAGUCAGUGCAGGUAACCAUAACCAAUAUGCCUAAUACUAGGGACAUGGAACCAGAGGAGGACACCUCCUGUAGCUAGGUAAGAGCCACAGUGGAAAGGUAAGGAAACCAACCUAUCCAGAAAACUUUCCACCCACAAUUUGUCCUGUCUAAAAGAAAUUCAGGGACUGGAGGAAUCAUCAACCAUUAACUUGUCCAAAUUGAGACCCAUCCCAUCGGCAAGUACCAAUCUCUGACACUCAUUUUUUGUUUGUUUGUUUGGUUGGUUGGUUGGUUUUUUUUGUUUUUGUUUUUCGAGACAGGGUUUCUCUGUAUAGUCUUGGGUGUCCUGGAACUCACUUUGUAGACAAGGCCGGCCUUGACUCAGAAAUCUGCGUGCCUAUGCCUCCUGAGUGCUGGGAUUAAAGGUGUGCACUACCAUGCCCAGCUGAUCUCUGACACUCUUAAUGAUACACUCUUAUGCUUGAAGAUAUAAGUAUUCCUCAGAAUGGUAGCUUAGUUGUAAAGCAGACAGAGACCAUGAAAAAAUUCCAAAACCUGUCAAAACGCAAAGAACAACUGACAAGAGUAUGUAAAACCACACUGGCAUCUGCAUUUGUUUCAGUCAGCUGCUGUGUAGAGCCUCUCAGAGAAUAGUUGUGCUAAGCUCCUGUCUUCAAAAAAUAAAAUUAAAAGCCCAGGUCCACAUAACACUUUG